CAGCCGCCACGGUAAUACGAAGGGGGCUAGCGUUGCUCGGAAUCACUGGGCGUAAAGGGUGCGUAGGCGGGUCUUUAAGUCAGGGGUGAAAUCCUGGAGCUCGACUCCAGAACUGCCUUUGAUACUGAAGAUCUUGAGUUCGGGAGAGGUGAGUGGAACUGCGAGUGUAGAGGUGAAAUUCGUAGAUAUUCGCAAGAACACCAGUGGCGAAGGCGGCUCACUGGCCCGAUACUGACGCUGGGGCACGAAAGCGUGGGGAGCAAACAGGAUUAGAUACCCCAGUAGUCCCUGUCUCUUAUAC
rnacentral:rRNA from 1 species